rnacentral:lncRNA from 1 species
AUGGGUUAGCAGCAGAUUAGAGAUGACAUAAAAAUAGUCAGUGAACUUGAAGACAGACCAUUAGAAAUUACCCAAUCUGAAAAAAAAGGAAGAAGAAAGAUUAGAAAAUAAUAAACAGAGUCAUAGUGACCUAUGAGACAAUAUCAAACGAUUCAACAAAUGGAUAGAGUUGCAGAAGUGAGGAGUAAAAGAAUGGAGCAGAAAACAACUGUUUGAAAAAAUAAUGUCUGGAUGAGAACUUUCACUUUUGAACAAGACAGAGUAGCAGGAAACAGACUUACUCUCCCACCUGAAAAAAAAAAAAAAAAAAAAAAAGAUAAAAUAGAUGAAACAACAGUUUCUAAGAUAUCGAACAUCAGGCAAAGAAGAACAGUGGCCCCUGAGAAAUAGAAAACAAACAGCCCAGCUGUCUGCCUGAAUUGAGGAGUGGGGAUGGGAGUCUGGAGAGGCCAGAGCAGUUGGAGUUCAUAGGUUAGAGUACUAGAGGGAGGAGAGCUACAAGAAAGAUGGAGCUCUGGAGAACUGCAAAGGGUCAACCGCAGAGGUCCCCUUGAGUCUUCAGCUGAUCGUAAACACUAUAUGCCCAAAGGAACAAUGGGCAAAGAAACACCUGCAAGAAUUAGGGAAUCAAUCCCUAGAGGUCACACAGUCCCAGGAGUGUUCGUUCCCUUUAGCAUCAGUCAGAGGAAAAAAAAAAAUUCCCAUAGUUUGAAGUGCAUAGAGUAGAGUAUUUGGAGAGGUUUUGUAUCAGUACUGAAACAAAAUUGGCCCUAUAGUAGAUACUGCUGUGGUCCUGUCUAGCAAAACUCGGAGGCAAGACCUGAAAGAAUCCUGCUGUGUCCAAGUAACUUAACUGAAUCCAAGGGGAAAAAUGAAGAAUAUUUAUGGGAAAUCUGUGCACUUGUACUUAAAAAAAAAGAGUAUGUAUGGCAAAUCAAAAAUAUCUAGCACUCAAUAUGGUUAAAAUUCACAGUCUUGCAUUUAAUCAAAAAUCAUCAGGCAUACAAAGAAAUAGGAAAAUUUAACCAAUAAUCACCAGGUAUACAAAGAAAUAGGAAAAUUUAACCAAUAAUAAGAAGGAAAAUUAACCAAAAGUGCCCCCAAAAUGACAAAGACACUAUAAUUAUUAAACCAGGACAUUAUAAGUUAUUAUUCCUGUAGUUCAUAAGUUAGGGAAGCUAGAAGAAGACUAGACAUGUUGAGACAGAAAAAAGUGUUUCAAAAAGAGCUAAGGGCCAGGCAUGAUGGCUCACACCCGUAAUCCCAGUGCUUUGGGAGGCCAAGGUAGGAGGAUCACUUGAGGCCAGGAGUUCAAGACCAGCCUGGGCUACAUAGCGAGAUCCCGUCUCAACAACAACAACAGCAACAAACAAACAAAAAACGGCAACAAAAGAAUCCAGAUAAAACUUCUAGGGAUGCAAAUUAUACUUGAGAUAAAAAUAUGCUAGGUAGGUUUAUUAGCAGAUUAGACAUUACAGAAAGUUAGUGAACUUAAAAGCAUAGCAACAGAAGCUUUCCAAAAUGAAAUGCACAGGGGAAAAACUGAAGAAAAUUACCAGAAUAUCAGUGAGCUACAGGACAACUUCAAGUAGGUUAUUGUACAUAUAGUUGUAUUUCCCAAAAGAUGGAGGGAAUAGAAAAAAGAAUUUAAGAAAUAGGCCAGGCACGGUGACUCAUGCCUGUAAUUCCAUGACUUUGGGAGGCCAAGGCAGGCGGAUCACUUGAGGUCAGGAGUUCAAGAUCAGCCUGGCCAACAUGGUGAAACCUCAACUCUUCUAAAAAUACAAAAAUUAGCUGGGCAUGGUAGUGCACAUCUGUAAUCCCAGCUACUCGGGAGGCUUAGGCACAAGAAUCGCUUGAACCUGGGAAGAAGAUAGAUAAAUGGCAAGUAAGACUUGAAAAGAUGCUCAUAAUUAGUCAUUAAGGAAAUGCAAAUUAAAACCACAAUGAGAUGUCACUAUACAUCUUUUU